UCUCUGUUAGUAUAUCGGUUAGUACACGCGCCUGUCAUGCGCAGCGCAAGAUCGCGCGAAAGCUGGGUUCGACUCCCAGACAGAGAG
rnacentral:tRNA from 1 species